GCUGGAAUGGCCGAGUCGUUAAGGCGAGUGAUUUGAAUAAUCAAACAUAUCACUUGGUGUUUCACCGCGUAGGUUCAAAUCCUGCUUCCAGCG